rnacentral:rRNA from 1 species
CCUACGGGUGGCAGCAGUGGGGAAUAUUGCACAAUGGGGGGAACCCUGAUGCAGCGACGCCGCGUGGGUGAAGGAGUAUUUCGGUAUGUAAAGCCCUAUCAGCAGGGAAGAACAAUGACGGUACCUGACCAAGAAGCACCGGCUAAAUACGUGCCAGCAGCCGCGGUAAGACGUAUGGUGCAAGGGUUAUCCGGAUUUACUGGGUGUAAAGGGAGCGCAGGCGGCGCGUUAAGCCUGGUGGGAAAGUCCGCGGCCCAACCGCGGGACUGCAUUGGGAACUGGCGCGCUGGAGUGCGGGAGGGGUAGGCGGAAUGCGUGGUGUAGCGGUGAAAUGCGUAGAUAUUGGGAAGAACGCCAGUGGCGAAGGCGGCCUGCUGGACGGUGACUGACGCUGAGGCUCGAAAGCGUGGGUAGCGAACAGGAUUAGAUACCCCUGUAGUC